UGCAGAAAAUCAAAGACACAGAGAAAGAAAUUAAAGCUGUGUAAGAGGCAAGACAUAUUACUGGCAACAGAAUGAUGGAGAAACCAACAGCAGAUCACUCGUCAACAAUAUCAGAAGCCAGAAGACUUCUAAGAGCCUCGCUGAAAAGACUACUAAAGGAUUUACUUCGUCAAGAAGAAAAGUGAACUCUGAGGGAUAGAAUGGGUUGCAAGCACUGCCAUGUUGUGAGCUGCCCCAUGGAUAGACCCAUGUGGCAAGAAACGGAUUGUCUAUGGCAAACAGCCAGAAAAGACCUGACGCCUGCCAACAGCCACGUGAGUGAGCUUGGAAGUGGAUCUUCUGAGGCUGCCAACAGCCACAUGAGUGAGCUUGGAAGCAAAUCUUCCCCCAAUUGAACCUUGAGAUGACUGCAGCCCCAGCCAACACCUUGAUUACACACUUCUUAGAGACCCUGAGCCAGA